rnacentral:rRNA from 1 species
UACAGAGGGUGCGAGCGUUGUUCGGAAUUAUUGGGCGUAAAGCGCUUGUAGGCGGCCCGUCAAGUCGCGUGUGAAAUCCCCAGGCUUAACCUGGGAAGUGCGCGCGAAACUGACGAGCUUGAGUGCCGGAGAGGGUCGCGGAAUUCCCGGUGUAGAGGUGAAAUUCGUAGAUAUCGGGAGGAACACCAGUGGCGAAGGCGGCGCCCUGGACGGACACUGACGCUGAGACGCGAAAGCGUGGGGAGCAAACAGG